rnacentral:rRNA from 1 species
GACGAACGCUGGCGGCGUGCUUAACACAUGCAAGUCGAACGGAAAGGCCCUGCUUUUGUGGGGUGCUCGAGUGGCGAACGGGUGAGUAACACGUGAGUAACCUGCCCUUGACUUUGGGAUAACUUCAGGAAACUGGGGCUAAUACCGGAUAGGAGCUCCUGCUGCAUGGUGGGGGUUGGAAAGUUUCGGCGGUUGGGGAUGGACUCGCGGCUUAUCAGCUUGUUGGUGGGGUAGUGGCUUACCAAGGCUUUGACGGGUAGCCGGCCUGAGCGGGUGACCGGCCACAUUGGGGCUGAGGUACGGCCCAGACUCCUACGGGAGGCAGUAGUGGGGAAUAUUGCACAAUGGGCGGAAGCCUGAUGCAGCAACGCAGGGUGCGGGAGGACGGCUUUCGGGUUGUAAACCGCUUUCGCCUGUGACGAAGCGUGAGUGACGGUAAUGGGUAAAGAAGCACCGGCUAACUACGUG